GACGGGCCCCGCACAAGCAGCGGAGCGUGUGGUUUAAUUCGAUGCUACACGAAGAACCUUACCAGGGUUUGACAUACAAGUAGUAGGGAAAGGAAACUGGACCGACCCUUCGGGGAGCUUGAACAGGUGCUGCAUGGCUGUCGUCAGCUCGUGUCGUGAGAUGUUCGGUUAAGUCCGCUAACGAGCGCAACCCUCGCUGUGUGUUACAAGUGUCACACGGAACUGCCGGUCAUAAACCGGAGGAAGGUGGGGAUGACGUCAAGUCAGCAUGGCCUUUAUAUCCUGGGCUACACACACGCUACAAUGGGAAGGGACAAUAGGUUGCGAAACCGCGAGGUGGAGCCAAUCCAGCAAAACUUCCCUCAGUUCAGAUUGCAGGCUGCAACUCGCCUGCAUGAAGUUGGAGUUGCUAGUAAACGCAGGUCAGCCAUACUGCGUUGAAUACGUUCCCGGGGCUU
rnacentral:rRNA from 2 species